CAUGAACAGUAAUUUGGUAAUCUUAGUAUUAAUAGUUAUGAUCUUUAAAUUAAAAGAAUUUGGCGGUAAUCUAGUCUGUUCAGAGGAAUCUGCCCUGUAAUUGAUAUUCCACGAUGAAUUUUACUUUACCUAUGCUUGUAUAUCUCUGUCAUUGAAUGUCCUAUUAGGGUAUUUUCUUUAAUCUUUAAUGUGUGAGAUGUCAGGUCAAGGUGCAGCGAUGGUAAAGAAGAGGUGGAUUACAUUAAAUUUAUUUAUGGAUAGUGAAUAUGGAAAUUUUCUUGAAAUUGGAUUUGAAAGUAAUUUCUAUUAGAAUAUAGAUUUGAUUUUAGCUCUAGAUUAUGC
rnacentral:rRNA from 1 species